UUUUAAUAGUUUUAUUAAUUAUUUAUUCAUUGUAAAUCUUAUUAAUUUGAGCAUUUACUAAUACAUUUUUUAAAAUCAAAUUUGAAACUGUUAACCACAAACUAACAUCAAUUACUGUAAUGACAUAAACAAGAAUUAAUAAAUGCUUACAAUAUAUUGUUCAUCGUUUGAUCAUAAUGCAUUUACUAAUGUGAACAAAUACAAAGCGUUUAGUGUUACAGAAACUUAUUUAAAAAAGAAACUUAGUAUUUCCUAUUAUUCAGUAGGCCUAUACAUAAACAAACAAUUCAGGGUUUGUUCUGUUCACAGUAGGGCUGUCGCGGUAACCGCAUGACCGCGCUACUGAAAAGCCCAACCGCAUGGAAAAAAGCAACCGCAACAACCGCGCCUUUCACGUUAAAUUCAUGAAACUAUAUGCCGCCUUGUUUUUCACGACAUACAGUACAUGUAUAAAAAAGGCCAAAUAGAUUGUCAAGAGUUAAGAGAGUAGGCCAAUUUGUUUUUCGUAAAUUUCAAUUAAAAAUGUUAUACUUCAUAUUUCGUUAAAUCAUACAGUGAAUGUGUGAAAAAGUAAAACUGAGAUAACAGAAUAUCUGUGGUAUCGUCUGCCUCUAGAUGCAGUUUUAAAGAUUAAAAUUACUGAUAAAUAUAAGUGAUAAACACAAAUGACGCCAAAAUAUAACUGGUUGCUUACCAGCAUUAAAACCUCAUAAGCGUCCGCUCCGUGGAUGCAGCCAAUAUAACGCUGCGGUUGCUUUUGUGAACUGAAUGCACACUUGACUUUCACCUAGACAUUUAGAUAUGCAAGUUUUUCAUCAACAGUAUCUGCGUGAAAGAUUUUAAACAUUGAUGAUUAUCUGCCGACUCGACUGUUUCAUCCCAGCAUCCUCUAUUCACCUUAUUUUUCACGACAACAAGGGCGGCGCCAUUUCGCUCAUUUUGUCAACGUUCUUCCGGCCGCAUAGACGAUGAGCAGCUGAGGCAGUGACUGAAGGCGACGCGUUAAAGCUUAAAAAGCUCACCCGAGCGCCUUUAUGUUUCUUUCUUACCAAUUUUAAGCCAACUGAGGAAUACCCUUAUCCCAAGGUUCGACUACGAUGUUCCGGUAACUUUAAACCACGCCGGGUGUUGAAAAGGUGGCCAGUUUCAGAUGCAUUGAUGUGUAGUGAUGCAGUGGACAACUGUGAGGAUGAUACAAUCAACAUGUUCCUAAACUGUGAUGCAGAAACACAAUGGGAGGAUCCAUCCGUCUCUGACCACAACUACACUUUAACAUCACAACUCAACCUGAAGCAACCUACAUCUGAUAUGGGAAAACAAUGGUGCAGUUUCCCGGACAGGGCUUAUCCUGGUCCCAAGCUAAAAUGCAUAUUUGAGCUACAAUAAUUUAAAAACACCUUUUACUGACAUACCUCAACAUAUAUGAGUGCCAUUGUUUUGUCACAAGAUGCGCACCAGUCUUGUUUUUUUGUAGGGUUUGUUUGUAAAAACUAAAAUGUCCUAAUAUAAUUAAAUCCUAAUCCUGUAAACCCUGUCCGAGAAACUGCUUCAAUGUGUUGAGCUGGCACAAAUGUACAUAUCUCUGCUGAGAAACAACCAUCUUUGGUUCAGCUUUACAGAGGGUUGAUAUUGCAUCCAUUACACAGUCGCCAAGCACUUUACCAGUACAUACACCAACAGCUUCCAGAUAAACACUUGGGAUCAGCUCCUGAUGACUCAGAUAAAGCUGUGUCUUAAUUUAUUGCAGGGUGGUCUUGCUUUACCUGUUGUAAAGCUACAUUAAACCUUCAUAUGUGAUCAGAUGUCAUGCAGUAAUAUUAAACAUUUACAGUGUGAUCAGAUGUUGUGCGUUUAUAUUAAACCUUUACAAUGUGAUCAGAUGUCAUGCAGUGAUAUUAAACAUUUACAGUGUGAUCAGAUGUUGUGCAUUUAUAUUAAACCUUUACAAUGUGAUCAGAUGUUGUGCAAUUAUAUUAAACCUUUACAAUGUGAUCAGAUGUUGUGCAUUUAUAUUAAACCUUUACAAUGUGAUCAGAUGUUGUGCAAUUAUAUUAAACCUUUACAAUGUGAUCAGAUGUUGUGCAUUUAUAUUAAACCUUUACAAUGUGAUCAGAUGUUGUGCAAUUAUAUUAAACCUUUACAAUGUGAUCAGAUGUUGUGCAAUUAUAUUAAACCUUUACAAUGUGAUCAGAUGUUGUGCAUUUAUAUUAAACCUUUACAAUGUGAUCAGCUGUUACAUGUCAUGCAGUUAUAUUAAACAUUUACUAUGUGAUCAGAUGUAACCUGCCAUGCAGUUAUAUAAACCUUUACAGUGUGAUCAGA